GUUGCCAGCGGUCCGGCCGGGAACUCAAAGGAGACUGCCAGUGAUAAACUGGAGGAAGGUGGGGAUGACGUCAAGUCAUCAUGGCCCUUACGACCAGGGCUACACACGUGCUACAAUGGCGCAUACAAAGAGAAGCGACCUCGCGAGAGCAAGCGGACCUCAUAAAGUGCGUCGUAGUCCGGAUUGGAGUCUGCAACUCGACUCCAUGAAGUCGGAAUCGCUAGUAAUCGUGGAUCAGAAUGCCACGGUGAAUACGUUCCCGGGCCUUGUACACACCGCCCGUCACACCAUGGGAGUGGGUUGCAAAA
rnacentral:rRNA from 1 species